rnacentral:ncRNA from 1 species
ACAGUACAAGCUGAGCAGGCAGUACGCUUACAGGGGACGCGGGGCACGCAGCAACGCGCAUCCGGCGGAGCGUAGGUAGCCGGGUCGCUAAGGCGGCAGCAGAGGAAGCCACAAGCGCAUCUGCGGGACAGU